UGAUGAUUCACUAAAAAGACUCACAGAACUUAGUGAAAGCUAAUGUCACACCUACUGUAGAGGAGUGAAAGUACAAAUUGUUUCUCACAAGGAAUGAGUGCCACUCUUCAGUUUUUAAGCAGAGAAGGAACAUGCUGGAUCUGUAUUUUGGACAGAUGUAAUGGUGAAGUUGAGAUGAUGAUCAGAGUCUUACUUCAGACAAAUCAUGAGUCUCAGAGGAAGUGAUGACAGAGAUGUCUGUGGAAACUAUUGAAGAGGAAGGCUUUGCUAAAUCUUCAUGGAGAGAGUCCUUUCUAUGGAGGAGACAUUAUGCUAGAAUUUUCACACAGAUUAUUUUAUUUAACUCCAAGAACUACUCCAUGAAAUAGGCAUGAUCAUCACCUUCAUUGUUUACAGAGAUUCUGGCUUCCCCACUGUAAGAACUGAAGAUACUGCAGCUGAAUUGAUGUCAUGAAAAGGCCUUCAUUCAAUUAGAGUGGGUAUCUUGUGUGGUCUCUAUUUAAUAACUUCCACUUUUGUACAUUUCAAUUUCUGUACGUGCUCUGAGAUAAACAGCCAGAGUCUUUAAGCAAGAGAGACAACAACUAAAAACAACAAUGAAAACUUAGUUACAGCUACAGCGAUAUAUAGGUCUUUAUAAAAGUAGCAGUUCCAUUGUGAAGGCGGUGAUAAAUGUAAAACCAUAAAUUCUGGAAAUAGUCGUAGUAAAUAGAUAGAAACAAGAGUGGUUCACAGAUAAGGAUAUGAAGCAUACUCACUGUAUUUUACCAAAAAUGAUGUUCCUAUAUUUUGUAGACCAGAGAGCCUUUUUAAAGGAAACAAAUUCAUAACCAAAUACCAUCUAGAAUUACCUCUAUUAAUAAAUUGUCAAUGUAAUAUUUUAAUUAAAACAUAUAUCACGUAUUUUCUUCUCUGUAUAAUUUUAUAAAAUAUCUAUGAUAAGAAAGAAAAUAAUGGAAUGCAUUUUCUUUAACAUAUUAUCCUACAUUAUACUCUUUCUAAUCUCUAGAGAC
rnacentral:lncRNA from 1 species